GACGAACGCUGGCGGCGUGCUUAACACAUGCAAGUCGAGCGAUGAAGCACCUUCGGGUGUGGAUUAGCGGCGAACGGGUGAGGAACACGUGAGGAAUCUGCCUUCCACUCUGGGAUAACUCCGGGAAACCGGGGCUAAUACCGGAUACUUUCAACUGGCGGCAUCGCCGGUUGAAGAAAGUUUUUCGGUGGAAGAUGACCUCGCGGCCUAUCAGCUUGUUGGUGAGGUAAUGGCUCACCAAGGCGCCGACGGGUAGCCGGCCUGAGAGGGCGACCGGCCACACUGGGACUGAGACACGGCCCAGACUCCUACGGGAGGCAGCAGUGGGGAAUAUUGGGCAAUGGAGGAAACUCUGACCCAGCGACGCCGCGUGAGGGAUGAAGGCCUUCGGGUUGUAAACCUCUUUCAGCAGGGAAUAAGCGAAAGUGAAGGUACCUGCAGAAGAAGCACCGGCUAACUAUGUGCCAGCAGCCGCCGCAG
rnacentral:rRNA from 1 species